rnacentral:lncRNA from 1 species
CCGCCCGAAAUAUGGAGAUUUCGCACUAUCUAACAUGUAUCAUGCAUGCAAAUAUUAUUGUUUUAUCGUAAUCAGGUAGAAGAAAUUUUUCGUGAUAUGGUGGCUUUGAAAAAGCCAGUUAACAAAAAAAUAAGGAGGAAACUUGACUCAGAGGAUGAGGAGGAUGAUCACUGGAGUUAUUGUGAGAGACAGCAAACUUGAUGACUACCUCGUUUAAGCAGUCCCAGAGCUUGGAAGACAAAUCUCUUUCUAUAUCUAAAAAAUAGGUGCAAACAGCAUGGAAGAUUGACGUUUGCUCGCCAUUUCAAUAAUUAACUUGGGCGUAUAGUAAUAAUUAACUUGAUAUCAUAAUUCAUAACUUGAAUAAAAUGGCUGCUGCUAGAGCUCUGGCUCUCUCAGCUUCUUCCUCACUCCUUAGGCUAAGUGACAGUCACAGACUGACAGUAUAGUUCCAGUGUUCAAUUACACCUGUGGUAAUGAUAGUCUGACAGUCUCACACACAGUGACACACUCAGUCUUGCCCAACCACCUUGCCCAAGCUUCUGCCCUUGCCCACAGGUCAGCUCACAGAGUCAGGUCGGGCAUUGCCCCUAUAUGCCCGACCCUGCCUACGCCUAUGAUCCAUGAAUGUGUAAGUCGAUGAAGCCAGGAGUCAAUAAUUGAGUCUUAAUCACAUCUUUAACUGUUGGUGGGCGAGUACUGGUAAUAUCAGUAAUGGUAUCUUGUACUAUACUGACGUAUACUGGCCCUUUCUUUAGCUCUCCUCCAGGCAGAACAACCUCCUCAGCUUCUAUUACUGUUGAAGCAGCUCGAGUUGAAGUGUCUAUACUGAUUACUGAGCCGGUCAGCCUGAAUUAAUUAAUAGCGUGGGCGGCUGGGCAUGGAGCUACACAAGCUAGGUUAAAAUCAUAGGUGAAGGAAAGAUCCAGUUGUUGCUGCUCUAGAUCUGUCUAAAGAAAUUUUAAAUACAAGACAUGUUGUGGACCUGAACUAUUAUCUCAAGUAUCUCUCAUUCAUAUACUGAAAAUCUAUUAACUGGGCUUAGGAACUAAGGACUCUUAACACAAUCAGACUGGUUUAAUAAUUUCAUUAAUCUUGACUUGUCUGUAUAUAGUUAUUACUCUAGAUGUAUACCUGAAGUGUAUCAAACAUUAUUUAUUGUCAUUGUUCAUGAAUUACUCUCAUUUCUGUUUAUAAGUCAUGGCACCCGCUUCUGCAUUGAUGGCUCUCGCAAUAAUUUCAUUCAAAAUUCAUAAUAAUCAAUUUUAAUAAUAAAGAAAUUGUGUAUGCAUAAUUGUUUAAACCAGGAGCCCAUGAAAAAUGCUGUAUAAUGUUCUACAUUCAUCUAUAGUAGUAAUAUUGUAUUGGAUCUACUGUACAUUAGCUGCUGUUCAUUCAUUAUUUAUAGGUAUGGUCCUACUGAGCAACUCAAGUAUGUUGGGAUAGAAAGAGGAAGCAAAGAAUAGACUAUGUUUUAUACACAUGACUAUUCUGACUAUUGAUGGUGUUAAAAUACUAUUUAGGUAUUAUUGCAAAUUUAAGUUUAAGAUUAUGAUCAGAUUCAAA